rnacentral:rRNA from 1 species
AUUGAACGCUGGCGGCAGGCCUAACACAUGCAAGUCGAACGAGUGGCGGACGGGUGAGUAAUGUCUGGGAAACUGCCCGAUGGAGGGGGAUAACUACUGGCAACGGUAGCUAAUACCGCAUACCAUCGGAUGUGCCCAGAUGGGAUUAGCUAGUAGGUGGGGUAACGGCUCACCUAGGCGACGAUCCCUAGCUGGUCUGAGAGGAUGACCAGCCACACUGGAACUGAGACACGGUCCAGACUCCUACGGGAGGCAGCAGUGGGGAAUAUUGCACAAUGGGCGCAAGCCUGAUGCAGCCAUGCCGCGUGUAUGAAGAAGGCCUUCGGGUUGUAAAGUACUUUCAGCGAGGAGGCGGUACCUGCAGAAUAAGCACCGGCUAACUACGUGCCAGCCGCCGCGGUAAUAC